AUACCAUAUUUAUGUAUAUAAAGCAAUAGAACAUCAGAUAAACAAAUGAUUAUUAGAAAUCUAUGAAUAAUGACGGCAAAAUUAGGUGAGUUAAUUUUUAAAAAUGAGUAUUUGUUACUUUUGAAAAAUAUUAUGCACAUACACAUUUAAUUAUGUACAUACAUGUUUGUUGGUGAGUUAAAUUUGUUGAGAUAAAAUUAUU
rnacentral:sRNA from 1 species